UACGUAGGGUGCAAGCGUUAAUCGGAAUUGCUGGGCGUAAAGCGUGCGCAGGCGGCUUUGCAAGACAGAUGUGAAAUCCCCGGGCUCAACCUGGGAACUGCAUUUGUGACUGCAUGGCUCGAGUGCGGCAGAGGGGGAUGGAAUUCCGCGUGUAGCAGUGAAAUGCGUAGAUAUGCGGAGGAACACCGAUGGCGAAGGCAAUCCCCUGGGCCUGCACUGACGCUCAUGCACGAAAGCGUGGGGAGCAAACAGG
rnacentral:rRNA from 1 species